rnacentral:lncRNA from 1 species
AACACGAUAAAAUUUUUAAUUUUCACGUGAAUUUUCAAUUAUGGCUUUUUUGACAAAUGAUGCCUCAUCUAUGCUUGGACUCUGGAGUCUCCCCGUCAUUUCCAAGAAAGAAUCGUCUGGCCUUUGCAUCAGUAGAUCAAAGUCAUCCCCAUCGUGGAUUACAUCAGCCCUACAGUAAAAUUCACUUAAUUAAUGAUUGAGAAAAUAUUUAUCGAUAUGUUUCGGUCAAGUUAUUAUUAAGAACCAAUGGUGCUAUUAUGCAAAAUUAUAAAAAUUCUAAAUGGAUUUACUUUUAUUACCUAGCAUUUACACAAAUUGUGUUAGACACGUGUAAGCACACAUGAUAUAAUUAAGAGAGAAACAUCACUACUUAAAAAUUAAAAAUGAAACCAUGACUGAGAAAAUCAGUGUUAAACUUGAUGAAUCCCAAAACAAAAUCGUUUUUUUUUUUUUUUUUUUUUUUGUGGUAAGUGUAGGGAGGGGACAGAUGUACAAGUGAGUUUAUCGGUGAACGUCCAUCCAAGCAAAGAUAAAAGUUAGAGAGACAUGAGUCCACAAAUGGGCUUAUAGAUGAAGGUACGCACAGGCUAUCCAUACGGAUGAACAAACAACUAUGAACAACUUCUGUACUUGAAAUUUACCCUUGAAGUUAUGAGUCAAAUCAAAGGACAUGAACAAUUACCUGGAAGCUUGUCGCCAAUUUCCAAUACGUCGCUGAAAGAAAAGAAUGGAUACUUUUAAUAAAGUAUGAAAUAUAGAUAAAAAAAAAAAGAGAAUGCCAAGCCCCUGCUGCUCUCAGGCCCUAUAUAAUGAAAGAAAUGUUCAUGCGCCUAACAUCCUGCAGUCUUCAAACCCAUACAGAAGGCAUACCUAAAAUCAGUUUAAAGUAUUGGGGUCCAGCACUAUGAAUGGCCAAGUAGCAAGAUAAUUCCAUUGCCAGAACCAAUUAGAACAUGAAUUGUAGAUAGAAGUUACCUCAAAAUAAGAGAAAUUAUUUCACCCUCGGAAAUUAUGUGGACGCUUGCUUUUGAGUUUUGUCCGGUCUAAGAAGAACUUAAUGUUCUGUUUUUACUGUGAUUUCUUUCUCUGUCUAAUGUCUCUUAAUAAUAGCUAAUGAAAGCUUGAAGAAUAGCAAGUUUUUACCCUCUUCGUAGCCCUCAGUUUAGUGUUGCAGUCUUGAAUGAGGUGUGCGACUAAAGAUUUUUCCAUAAAAUCAAUGUCUUCAUGUUGCCCCCUUAUAGAGCCGUAUCUGCUCUUUUUAUAAAUUUGAAUCAAAUAGAAAGGUUUACGAAAUGAAAAGAUGAACAAAGAUAACACUAAUGCAGCAUAAAAAUAAAACUAAGCCAACCCUUUUGCAGAAAAAUUAAUUCAAAAACAAUAUGGAUUAUAGAUAGCAAAAAUACAUUAGAUUGUUAAGAAAUUUAAUCAUGGCUCAUAUAUAUUUUGUUCACAUACAUGCACACGCACAUAACUCUCUGUUUCUGUUCAUUCGUGCACAUGCGCACAUACCUUGUUUUUUUCUUCUAUGCCCUGCUUUUAUCUAAUAAAGGCGCAGUACCCACUUAUUUCAAAGUCUUUAUUUGAUUAUUCUGAGUGCACAUCCAUCUAUGUCAAUAAUAUAAUUUGAUCUGUCAUCUUUUUUUGUUCUGAUUGUGUUGAUAUUUUUUUCGAUACUUUUAUGUUAAAUUGGGUGUUUCUCAUUUACACUUAAAACAGAUGUAUAGGUGAGUUUAAAAUUAGAGACACAUGAGCCCACCUAUAAAUGGCUUAUUGAUGGAAGUCUGCACAAGCAACCCAUGUUGUUGAACAAACAACUAUGAACAACAUCUGUACUUGAAAUUUAGCCAUGAAGCUAUGAGUCAAGUCAAACGACAUGAACAAUUUACAUGGGAGCUUGUUGCCAAUUUCCAAUAUGUCACCAAAAGAAACGGAUGGAUUCUAUAUUAAAAGUAUGACAGAGAAAUAUGGAUAAAAGGAGAAUGCCAAGCUACUACGCUUGUGCCCUAUAUAAUAAAAGAAAUGUUUAUACGUCUAAGAUCCUGCAGUUUUCAGACCCAUACAGAGGGCAUACGUAAAUCAUUUAAAAUUCUGAGGUCAAGCACUAUGAAUAGCCAAGUAGCAAGAAAUUUCCAUUGCCAGAACCAAUUGUUGCUGCCUAUAAAAACCUUCUACGUUGCACUCUCCCUUGAAAACUCACUUCAGUAGCCAAAAUAACAUAAACAAAAGCAGAAAAUAUGGCAGCCUUAUCAUUAUAUCUGCUGCUUACUUGGAUAUUCUUGCUGUCUCUCUUUCGUACUAGGUUUGCUGAGGUACUUUGUCAUGCGGAUGAGAGCUCUGCCUUGAUGGAAUUCAAGAGAAGUUUCAGAACCAACACGCCAG